UGAACUGUGUAAACAGAAGAGUGGAAGAGUCUCUUCAUACGAUGACAAAGAUUAUCACUGUGAAGAAGCUCAAUGGAGCAUGAAACACAUGGUUGAACAGGACGACUGCCACUUCGUGCACUAUUGCAAAAAUUAGGUGCACCCGCAGUAAUGGUAACUAAUAAAAGGAUGUGACACUUCUAGGCUUGGGAUGACGGUGAGCAUCUACCAAUGACAAUGCAUGUAUUGCAGCAAAAAAAAAAAAAAGCAAUAACUUUUCUGCCAUCCAGAACUACUUGUAGGCUUCUAGGUAGGGGUGAAAUCGGUCCAGUUUGGUCCAGUUUUGGGCCAUUGACACCACCAAACCAAACAUUUCGGUUUGUGAAGCUAUGAUGCACAUACACGGACACCGACACCGACACGGGAAUUCUAAAAAAAUGGAGAUACAAACACUGCGGGGGACAUGCCACAUGUAUAUUUAUUUAUUUGUUUAUAUUUUUUUCAAUUUUUUUUCCAAAUUUAAAUGGCAAAAUGUGGACAAAACGAAAAAUCCAUAGUUCCAAUACCAUUCAAACAAAACAAGACAUCCAUAAGUUCAAUACAACCCUACUGAAAAAUUAUAGUUUGACCCCCAAUUUUUAAAAAAAAAUUACACUUUGACCCCCCGCCGUGUCCCAUCGGUGUCCCCAGCCAUGUCCCUCUCAAAAAUUUAAAUUAAAUUAUGGGACACGCCACGUGGCAUGUCCCAUACGUGUCCCCGCCGUGUCCCCAUGUCAACACUACAAUACGUCGACCUCUAGAGGUGUCGGUGCUUCAUAGGUGAAGAGUAAAACCGAAACCAGACCAACCUCAAGUGGACCAGUCUGGUAUGGUGUUACCUGUUUGGUCAGUUUUUUCCAUUGAAAAAAGCUCCGGAGAAAUUCAAAUAGAUUACAUAGUCGAACCACGAUCACCGAGGUCAAGAUCGAAUCACAAAAAAGGAGAGGGGUAGAGUAAUCAUCAGUGAGAUGAAAAAUAGAGUAUCACCUAUACAUGAACUCUGAUCUUCACUCACAACAUAUAUAUUAUUGCAAGAUCGAUCAAGAGUUGCAGAAGUUGAAUCCACCGAAUCCUUCCUUUGACAUGAAGGAUUCAUAUCUGAUGAGAUUAAGCAAAUGAUCCUUCAGUGGAAUUCAGAGAGAGAGAGAUGUGCGGCGCUGGAGCUAAGAGAGAGGAGAAUGACAGAUUUUAUGGUUAGGGUGAGAUAUCAGAUGGAUGGCUGUGAUGAUUGAAGAGGUCGAAACAUGAAUGGUCCAGAUUAGAACUGGAAUGCCUAACAUAAAUACUUACAGUGAGUUCAGUUCGGUUUGGUUGAUAACCUAUUCACAAUUGUUAGAACAUGUGUGAACAUUAAGUCCCACACAAAUAAAUAGAAAGAGGGUUGGACCUUAACAUACAAUUGGGUGGCUCACCACUUACAAAGCUUAGCCUUUUAAGUGGAAAUGGGUCCUUCGAUGUAUAUUGGGUCCAAGCAAUGUGAUGUACUCUGUCGUUACUCCCAUACAACUUGGGCCUUGAGCACGUAGUGAUAGGUCGAUGCAUCAUACAAACUCCCAACAAGUGGUAUUAGAGCCGAUGUCUGACGAUCUAUGGGAAGACUUUCGGUGUGCUACGAAUGGACUUGCACGGAGAACACUCAGUGAAGCAGGAAAAAUGCAAGGUGACUCACAAUGAAGCAAGGUGGCUCGAUGUUGGAGUGUUAUAUUGGAUGGCUCUGUAUCGAUGGAGCAGAUAUCCCAGGUGACUCCCGAUCAAGGUUCUAAAUACUAUACCGGGCAUGGCAACGUUUUUGUCAAUGGUACGAUACGUACUAGUACCGGUGUUAUACCGAGUACUGUUUCUGAUUUAUCGUGGUAAAUAAAUUUGAAUUAUAAAUAUUAUAUAUUUGCUGAAAAUAUUAACCUUCAUUUAGUAAAACCCAACAAUAGCAAUAUUGUUGUUGAAAAGUGAACAAAUUUUACAACUUAAAUACAAAGUAAACAGCAAAAACAAUAUAAAUAUAUUAAAGAGAAUUGUUGUAUACUAAUGUGGUGUGGUAUCCUCCACACUAGAUAAUCUCCAAAAAGUAGUUGUACUCUUCAAUACAGCUAUUACACUUCCACUGAUUUUGUUUUCUCCCAAGCACCAUUAAUGUCGUCGGCUAAGUUGAAGAAGAAAAGGCACAGACCAAGUUUGAAGAGGCGUGGAGGAGAAGACUUAAAGAUUCAGUUCAAAAGGUGAGAUCGGUGAGUUCUCGCGGAAAUAAUCGCGGGAAUGCUCUAGCCUCUAAGAGACCAGAUGGUCCGCAUCUGUCCGUUCUCUCUAUUUCCCUUCAAA